UACGGAGGGGGCUAGCGUUGUUCGGAAUUACUGGGCGUAAAGCGCACGUAGGCGGCUUUGCAAGUUAGAGGUGAAAGCCCGGAGCUCAACUCCGGAAUUGCCUUUAAAACUGCAUCGCUAGAAUUGUGGAGAGGUGAGUGGAAUUCCGAGUGUAGAGGUGAAAUUCGUAGAUAUUCGGAAGAACACCAGUGGCGAAGGCGGCUCACUGGCCCGAUACUGACGCUGAGGUGCGAAAGCGUGGGGAGCAAACAGG
rnacentral:rRNA from 1 species